CCUACGGGAGGCAGCAGUGGGGAAUAUUGCACAAUGAGGGAAACCCUGAUGCAGCGACGCCGCGUGAGUGAAGAAGUAAUUCGUUAUGUAAAGCUCUAUCAGCAGGGAAGAAAAUGACGGUACCUGAGUAAGAAGCCCCGGCUAACUACGUGCCAGCCGCCGCGGUAAUGCGUAGGGGGCAAGCGUUAUCCGGAUUUACUGGGUGGAAAGGGAGCGUAGACGGCCGUGCAAGUCUGGAGUGAAAGGCGGGGGCUCAACCCCCGGACUGCUCUGGAAACUGUACGGCUGGAGUGCAGGAGAGGUAAGUGGAAUUCCUAGGGUAGCGGUGAAAUGCGUAGAUAUUAGGAGGAACACCAGUGGCGAAGGCGGCUUACUGGACUGUAACUGACGUUGAGGCUCGAAAGCGUGGGGAGCAAACAGGAUUAGAUACCCGAGUAGUC
rnacentral:rRNA from 1 species